CGGAGCCUCGGGACGCAGCAGUGGGGGAUAUUGCACAAUGGGGGGAACCCUGAUGCAGCGACGCCGCGUGGGUGAAGAAGCGCCUCGGCGCGUAAAGCCCUGUCAGCAGGGAAGAAAAUGACGGUACCUGAAGAAGAAGCCCCGGCUAACUACGUGCCAGCAGCCGCGGUAAUACGUAGGGGGCAAGCGUUAUCCGGAUUUACUGGGUGUAAAGGGGGCGCAGACGGCGAUGCAAGCCAGGAGUGAAAGCCCGGGGCCCAACCCCGGGACUGCUCUUGGAACUGCGUGCCUGGGGUGCA
rnacentral:rRNA from 1 species